AAAUCUGGCCCCUCGGGGUCCGAGUUGUAAUUUGUAGAGGAUGCUUUUGGUGAGGUGCCGCCCGAGUUCCCUGGAACGGGACGCCACAGAGGGUGAGAGCCCCGUCUGGCUGGCCACCGAGCCUCUGUAAAGCUCCUUCGACGAGUCGAGUAGUUUGGGAAUGCUGCUCAAAAUGGGAGGUAUAUGUCUUCUAAAGCUAAAUAUUGGCCAGAGACCGAUAGCGCACAAGUAGAGUGAUCGAAAGAUGAAAAGCACCUUGAAAAGAGGGUUAAAUAGUACGUGAAAUUGUUGAAAGGGAAGCGCUUGUGACCAGACUUGGGCGCGGCGGAUCAUCCGGGGUUCUCUCCGGUGCACUUCGCCGCGUCUAGGCCAGCAUCAGUUCGUCGCGGGGGAAAAAGGCUUCGGGAACGUGGCUCCUCCGGGAGUGUUAUAGCCCGUUGCAUAAUACCCUGCGGUGGACUGAGGACCGCGCAUCUGCAAGGAUGCUGGCGUAAUGGUCACCAGCGACCCGUCUUGAAACACGGACCAAGGA
rnacentral:rRNA from 1 species